GAUGAACGCUGGCGGCGUGCCUAAUACAUGCAAGUCGAGCGAACGGACGAGAAGCUUGCUUCUCUGAUGUUAGCGGCGGACGGGUGAGUAACACGUGGAUAACCUACCUAUAAGACUGGGAUAACUUCGGGAAACCGGAGCUAAUACCGGAUAAUAUUUUUAACCGCAUGGUUCAAAAUUGAAAGACGGUCUUGCUGUCACUUAUAGAUGGAUCCGCGCUGCAUUAGCUAGUUGGUAAGGUAACGGCUUACCAAGGCAACGAUGCAUAGCCGACCUGAGAGGGUGAUCGGCAACACUGGAACUGAGACACGGUCCAGACUCCUACGGGAGGCAGCAGUAGGGAAUCUUCCGCAAUGGGCGAAAGCCUGACGGAGCAACGCCGCGUGAGUGAUGAAGGUCUUCGGAUCGUAAAACUCUGUUAUUAGGGAAGAACAUAUGUGUAAGUAACUGUGCACAUCUUGACGGUACCUAAUCAGAAAGCCACGGCUAACUACGUG
rnacentral:rRNA from 1 species